CGAAAGAAAAGAAAACCAACCGUCUUUUUUUUUCUAUUCACAUACUCUUCCUGAGCUGCACAAACAGUUUCCCUUUACCUCCGGUGAUCUGCCGCUGGCGACCGGCGAUUUGAAGUCAAAACCUCGAUUCUUUCCCGGAAACCUAUUAUUUCCGAGUAAUUGAUUCCGAGUUGUGUAUGCAUUUCAGUAGCUAAAAUGGCGGACGAAGCAAACAGAACUGCAUUUAUGGAGAUUCAAGGACGAAUGAUUGAGACUACUGGAAAAUUGAAGCAGGUGCAAAGUCAAAUCCGAUCUAAAGAAACAGAAAAGAAGCGUGCUUACUUAACCUUGGAGGAGUUGCGACAAGUGCCUGAUGGCACAAAUACUUACAAAUCCAUAGGGAGAACGUGAGUCUCUUUCUUGGCUUACUUGUACUUGUAGGAAUCUGUGUUACAAAUCCAAAACAGUAUUUUGAUUCCCCUUUGUGGUUUCUUUCUGUCCAUCAUAAUACUUAGGUUCGUACUGGAGCCAAAGUCGGUCUUGAUUAAUGAACAGGAACAGAAGUUCAAGGAUAGUGAGACGGCAAUUGCUUCUUUGCAGACUUCUAAAGAGUACCUGGAGAAACAGCUGGGGGAAGUAGAAAACAACCUGAAGGAGCUACUGCAACAAGAUCCAGGUCUCGCCAGUCAAAUCAUGUCCCUAUCAGUAAUGUUCAAUGUAUUUUAAAGUUUUAGCAUGGCUACCAGGCUAGUAAGAAUAGCCAGUUUACUUUUGAUGGAAUGGGAGGCUCUUCAAGGCUGCCGCCUCCUAGAGGGCAACGUGUUUGUAAAUUUUUGAGAGUUGGUAUUGCAAGAAGGGUGCAUCCUGUAAGUAUUUGCAAUCUUAGUUUGAAGAUACCCUCAUCGAUUUGUAUCAAUUAAAAUUUAUGUA